rnacentral:rRNA from 1 species
UGCGCAGGCGGGCAUUUAAGUCAGUAGUGAAAUCUCGAAGCUCAACUUCGAACGUGCUAUUGAAACUGUAGAGCUUGAGUACAGACGAGGCAGGCGGAAUGUGUUGUGUAGCGGUGAAAUGCUUAGAUAUAACACAGAACACCGAUAGCGAAGGCAGCUUGCCAGACUGUAACUGACGCUGAGGCACGAAAGCGUGGGGAGCGAACAGGAUUAGAUACCCUGGUAGUCC